rnacentral:rRNA from 1 species
GAUGAACGCUGGCGGCGUGCCUAAUACAUGCAAGUCGAGCGAACAGACGAGGAGCUUGCUCCUCUGACGUUAGCGGCGGACGUGUGAGUAACACGUGGAUAACCUACCUAUAAGACUGGGAUAACUUCGGGAAACCGGAGCUAAUACCGGAUAAUAUAUUGAACCGCAUGGUUCAAUAGUGAAAGACGGUUUUGCUGUCACUUAUAGAUGGAUCCGCGCCGCAUUAGCUAGUUGGUAAGGUAACGGCUUACCAAGGCGACGAUGCGUAGCCGACCGGAGAGGAUGAUCGGCCACACUGGAACGGAGACACGGACCAGACUACUACGGGAGGCAGCAGUAGGGAAUCUGACGCAAUGGGCGAAAGCCUGACGGAGCAACGCCGCGUGAGUGAUGAAGGUCUUCGGAUCGUAAAACUCUGUUAUUAGGGAAGAACAAAUGUGUAAGUAACUAUGCACGUCUUGACGGUACCUAAUCAGAAAGCCACGGCUAACUACGUG